ensembl:misc_RNA Metazoa_SRP Metazoan signal recognition particle RNA
GCUGGGUGUGGUGGCAUGUGCCUGUGGUCCCAGCACUCAGGAGGCUGAGACAGGAGGGCUGCACGGGCCCAGGAGUUGGCUGGGGUGUGCUGUGCCAAUGGAGUGUCUACGCUAAGUCUGUCAUCACUAUGGUGAGCUCCUGGGAGUGGAGGACCACCAGGCUGCCAGCCCAGGUCAGAAACAGAGCAGGACAAAAAGCUCCGGUGCUGAUCAGUAGUGGGACUGCGCCUAUGAUUAGCCACCUCACUCCAGCCUGGGCAACAUGGCACGACCACAUACUUA